rnacentral:rRNA from 4 species
AAAUUGAAGAGUUUGAUCAUGGCUCAGAUUGAACGCUGGCGGCAGGCCUAACACAUGCAAGUCGAACGGUAACAGGAAGCAGCUUGCUGCUUCGCUGACGAGUGGCGGACGGGUGAGUAAUGUCUGGGAAACUGCCUGAUGGAGGGGGAUAACUACUGGAAACGGUGGCUAAUACCGCAUAAC